rnacentral:rRNA from 1 species
GACGAACGCUGGCGGCGUGCCUAACACAUGCAAGUCGAGCGGGGAUUUAAGUGGAAGUUCUUCGGAAUGGAGAUUUAAAUUCUAGCGGCGGACGGGUGAGUAACGCGUGAACAAUCUGUCCCGGACAGGGGGAUAACACUUGGAAACAGGUGCUAAUGCCGCAUAAGACCACGGCCUCGCAUGGGGCUGAGGUAAAAGGAGCAAUCCGGUUCGGGGUGAGUUCGCGUCCGAUUAGCUAGUUGGUGAGGUAACGGCCCACCAAGGCGACGAUCGGUAGCCGGCCUGAGAGGGUGAACGGCCACAUUGGAACUGAGAGACGGUCCAAACUCCUACGGGAGGCAGCAGUGGGGAAUAUUGGGCAAUGGGCGAAAGCCUGACCCAGCAACGCCGCGUGAGGGAAGAAGGUUUUCGGAUUGUAAACCUCUGUCCUAUGGGACGAAGGAAGUGACGGUACCAUAGGAGGAAGCCCCGGCUAACUACGUG